rnacentral:rRNA from 1 species
AUAAUCUCAACACAAGCUCGCGGCUCAAACCCUAGCAUCUCCAACUCCAGCCGCCGCCACACACUCCCCGCAGCCAAUCCUCCCCAACCCAAGCUCGCAGCCAUGCCUCCCAAGCUCGACCCGUCCCAGAUCGUGGAGGUGUAUGUCCGCGUCACCGGCGGGGAGGUCGGCGCUGCGUCGUCCCUGGCCCCCAAGAUCGGUCCGCUCGGUCUCUCCCCAAAGAAGAUCGGAGAAGACAUCGCCAAGGAGACGGCCAAGGACUGGAAGGGCCUCCGCGUCACCGUCAAGCUCACCGUCCAGAAUCGCCAGGCCAAGGUGUCCGUCGUCCCCUCCGCCGCAGCCCUCGUCAUCAAGGCGCUCAAGGAGCCCGAGAGGGACCGCAAGAAGGUCAAGAACAUCAAGCACAGCGGCAACAUCAGCCUCGACGACGUCAUCGAGAUCGCCAAGAUCAUGAAGGUCCGCUCCAUGGCCAAGGAGAUGGCCGGCACCGUCAAGGAGAUCCUCGGCACCUGCGUCAGCGUCGGCUGCACCGUUGACGGCAAGGACCCCAAGGAUCUGCAGACGGAGAUCGACGACGGCGAGGUGGAGAUCCCCGCUUAAGAAGGCUUGGCUUUGGGCAGGUUGUUAUGUGAGGCUGCUGAAGUAGUUUCUCCUAUCUAGAUGCUUCCUGAUGCAUUUGAGAGAAUGGAUGUGAUAUCUUCACUUGUUCUACUCUUGCUGAAGAAGAAACUUUUGUCAUGCUUUACUGGUUCCAUUGUGAGACUAUUUUUUACUGGUUUAAUGAGUACCUUGCGGAAUCAAUCAAUGUUAUUAUGGCAGCUAGAAUAUCAUAUGUUGAGUUUUGUCAUUGAUGUUUUGAG